AUUGAACGCUGGCGGCAGGCCUAACACAUGCAAGUCGAGCGGAGCGGCGGACGGGUGAGUAAUGCCUAGGAGAAUGCCCGGAAGUGGGGGAUCACGUCCGGAAACGGGCGCUAAUACCGCAUACUAUCAGAUGAGACUAGGUCGGAGUAGCUAGUUGGUGGGGGAAAGGCCUACCAAGGCGACGAUCCGUAACUGGUCUGAGAGGAUGAUCAGUCAUACGGUAACUGAGACACGCUCGAGACACCUACUGCAGGCCGCCGUGGGGGUUAGUGGAGGAUGGGCUACAGCGUGAUCGAGCCAUGCGGAGUGAAUGAAGACGGUAUUCCUAUUGUCAAGCUCUGUACGUUAAGGUGCGUUACGAACAGAAUAAACAACGGCUAACUCCGUGCCAGCCGCCGCGGUAAUAC
rnacentral:rRNA from 1 species